AUGAGCAAAAGCCGCUCAGUGAAAAAGUGGGCAGUUUUCCCCAAGGAGCUUCACAGUGAAGAGUGCAUAGCCCCAACCUCUGCAGUGGAUCCGGAAGCCACCACUGUGCCUCAACCUCUCCUUUCUCCAGUAUUUCCUUCACGUUCCUCUCAUCCCAGGCUGUCACCUUGCCAGCUAGUGGUGACAUAUACGUGAUGAAAUGACUUAAACCUUCAUUCCUGAAAGCAGUUAAGUUCUUGACAAUUACCCUCUCGGUCUGCGGCAGCUGUGAUUGUUCUUUCUCAGUUAGAAUGGGGUUGACUCCCAUUUGUAAGAGCAGCCCUUCCUCCUCCUGUGAUCACUGUCAGUUUCCCCUGUUGGUGACCCCUCUUCUUGCCUGCUGAAUCAAGGGAGCAAAGACACAGCUGUCCUAAGUGCCCAGGCAGCAGACACAGCUGUACCUUGAUGGUUCCCAUAGUAUUUGCCUGAUCUCACAAUGUCUCCCCAGCCAGAAUCUAUUGCUUCUUGCUAGAUGAGACAAUUUCUGGUGUGAUAACAAGUAUUACUUUUGUGAUAUCUGACUUUUUAAUUGGAAUCCUAAUGCCAUAAAAUUAUUUUGGAAUGAACUAUAUCUAGUCCCUCCUUCUAAUACACACUCAGAUUGUUGAAAGAAAUAAAUGAAAUAAUGCAUGCAAAAGAGAUGAAUGCAGAGCUUGACACGAAGUAGGACUAAGUAAAUACUGAAUCUUUAUCCAAAUCUUUCCUGAUGAUGUUAUAUUUAUAAGGAAUGUUGUAUUUAAUAUUGCUAGUGCUAGCAUCAGCUUUUCAUUUAACACAGUAAGAACAAUAGAAAGCCAAUUUGUGUCACACCGAUGCUGACAUGGGCAUGAAAAGGAAGGGUUGCAUAUAAAACAUGUAACAUUGAACUCUGUCUUUUUGUGUCUCUCUUUUAAACUCAGUUUAUAAACAUGCCAUGGUGACCCAUGUCUUACACAAAUGACUUAGAACUUAUCAAAAUGUUAAAAUAUCCUUGAACAUUUUAACAAAUUAUUAUUGAAAUGAGGACUUUUUUUUCAGCAAAAAUUGCCAAAACAAUGCACUAUCCUAGUCAUUUUAUUAUACAGCUUAUAGUUUGGUAAGUAGCAGUUUUUAACUAGUUCAUAAUGGCUGUUUAAAUUUGCGUAUAGAUAUUACUCACAUUUUGGAUAUUUAAUAAAGCAAACAGGUAUUCAUCUUCCUGAAACUUUCUGUACAAAUCUGGGACUUUUUAAUUUCAGUGGUUGAUUAAAACUUUUCACUUUAUAUCCUCUGUGGUUUACACUCACAUUAAUUAGCAAGAAUUCAUUUUGAAAGAGUGCAUAGUGUAUCNNNNNNNNNNNNNNNNNNNNNNNNNNNNNNNNNNNNNNNNNNNNNNNNNNNNNNNNNNNNNNNNNNNNNNNNNNNNNNNNNNNNNNNNNNNNNNUUUGGUCCUGCCACAAUAUCUUGAAUAUUUUGCUUUAAAUACCAUCCUUAUCAUGGUGUUCUGUAUAAUUAAAGUAAAAGUUUUGUUCUUAUUUUUGAAAAAUCAGCUUUGUAGCAGUGUUUAAUAUACAGGGGUUAGAAAAAGACUACUUGAGCAAUGAAAAGCCUCCUUUAAACAGUAAAAUACCAGUUGAAGAAAAAAAAUAACAAACGUUAAAUCUUUACAGUGAAGAAGUGAGAUAAGGAGAAUCAGACGAAGGAUAAAAGAAUGGGCAAGGGAGGAAAUAACAGGAAAUCGAGAACAUAAUUGUUGUGAGAUAUACAAUAUUGGGGACAUUUUCAAAGAAUUUUUAUUCCAUGUUAUAGUUCAAACUUGGCAUAUUAAUAGCAAGUUCCAAAAAUGGAACUUUAAACUGUUUUCUCAAUUAUUGGUUUGGAGUUUGGAAGGGAUGCGGUUCUGAGAUUGUUUUUCCUAACCAGAACAUAGAAGGGGCCAGGACAAAAGGCUUUCGGAGACUGAUUGCAAAGUAUUUUUAAACAUUUUUGCCACUUUGGAAAUGGAUCGUUUUAUUAUCAUCUUUAAAAAUAAUCCACUCUCCUUUUCAAUAAAUAUUAAAGGAAUAAAUUAAUUUCCUUUUAUUUUGUACAUUAUUAUUUUCAGGAUAGAAAAGCACUGCUAAUAAUUUCGUGACCACAAAAUCAAUUAAUUUGUUUUAUACGCUAAUGUUUUAGGACCAGUUCUAGGGACAGAGCAAAGAGGGCAGGUUUUAUGGCUGCCCUAAGGGGAGAAGCUCCUAAAUCUUACUAAUACUCACAUUUCCCAUGUCAGCUGGCCAGGGGACCUGAAAUUCUCAGUACAGUCAUUGUUGAAGCUAAAGAUUCCAUAAAGACUCAGUAACAAUGCAAANNNNNNNNNNNNNNNNNNNNNNNNNNNNNNNNNNNNNNNNNNNNNNNNNNNNNNNNNNNNNNNNNNNNNNNNNNNNNNNNNNNNNNNNNNNGAAUUACUAAAAAGACACACUAGGAAAAUGCAGAUAGAAUGUAUCAGGUCAGUGUGGACUAAGGAUGCUGAAAUAGUUUCUGAGACUGGGGAACUGCAAGGAAUAAAUCUGUGUUAGGUAUUGUCAUCUGAGACAUCUGUGGAAUGUUCCAUUCUCUUCCUGUUUAAUACCCUUACCUCCUGCAUCACAGGGGCUGUAUGACCAAAAACUACAUUUCCCAGAUGCCCUAGCAACUAGUUUUCUGGAUGAGAUUAUCUUUCAUCAUAGUCUUGAGAUGUACUCAUUCGAGUUUGGAAAUGAAAGAGAUGAGGGUCAUUCUUCAUUAUUUAGUGGAGCCGGCCAAUAAGCAGCAUGCAGCAGGUGUGCCGCAACAUUGAAAAGAAACGCCAAUGAAGGCAUCUGUGAAGUUGGCAGUGGUGGGGCACUUUCUUGACCACUAGGUGGCAGUAGAAUUUCUUGACCUCUAACUUCUCACUCCGCAACAAUUUUCUAAGCACCUUAAUUCUUGAAUUCCUUUCUGCUUAAAACCAUCGAGUGAUUCUAUUCCCUGUCAUGACAAACACGGUCCAAGGGUUCAGGAAUUAGGAAUACUAAAGAACAAAGAAAGAAGGAAAAUAUAUGCAAAGCUCCUAUAGCAAAGCUAGCUAAAUGAAAGAGCUGCUUCAACCCGGGGAUUUAUAUGUGCCACUUACCAGGAAAACAGCCAGUUCCUAUGAAAUACAAUUAAAAUCCUCUGGACGUAGCAGGGAGCAUAAAAGGGCAGCUACCAGAGAGGCAGACUUUGUUUUAGGCCUGGAUCUAAAGUGCCCGCCUAAGGGCAGAAGACCGAGGUGAAAAAGAGCAAUGACCUGGUUAGAAGGAAGGAGCAACGAGUGUGUAACACACACUCUCUGAAUGGAGCUUGUGGCCUGCUUGUAUAGUCAAAUAUUAGGAAAGCUAGAUACUUGGUAAGAUUUCCCAUUCAUAUGUCUGCUUUGACAGUUCAACACUUCAUGGCACAGAUACCAGUGGCAAGAUUAUCUUUCAAACUAAUAAAUAAUGAGAAGGUUUUUGUUAAGAAAAGAAAAAGGGGAGAAAACUUGGGAAGAAAUUGAGGCCUAGGUGGCUUUCCACACAUCUCUAGUCAGAAGGGGUAAAAGCCUUGGCUUCCCAGGUGGCACAGUGGUAGAGAAUCCACCUGCAAUGCAGGAGACGUGGGUUCAAUCCCUACGUCGGGAAGAUUCCCUGAGGUAGGAAAUGACAACCCACUCCAAGAUUCACCUGGAAAAUUCCAUGGACAGGGGAGCCGAGCAAGCUACAGUCCAUGAAGUCCCAAAGAGUCAGACAUGACUGAGCUACUAGCGUGCACUCAUGGUAAAAGCCUUAUAGAAGAUUUUGGGGACAAGUCUUACCAAGCAUCUUUAAAGGAAAUAGAUUUCUCCUGAGGGAAAGUCUCGCUAAGUGGAUGGCACAGAACUUUCUAUUCUAAGUUUCUAUUGGCAUCAUUUAUGAAAUAUAAAUCUCUAACGGGCCAACGAGAAAAUUGGGACUAAAAGAAAUCAAACCUUCUUUUUAAAUUACUGAAGUGCCUUUUCUUGUUCAUCACCUCAGCAGGCGUUGUAUUUAUUCACAAAGUAGCUCAUUUAUGACCACUGAUCACCAGAAAGACUACAGAAGUAGUCAAGGGCUGUGGCUAGAUGUCCAGAACAUGCAGAGGGUAGCCUGUCUGCUAAAAAUCUGAGACACUUUACAGAGAAGUUCUGCAGAGGCUGGGGAUCCGUGCUACAGAGAACCUCAGUUUAAAUGACAGGGUGUCCUGUCACUAAUUCUAGAUACUGACGAAAGGAAGGGAGUAUUUGGGUUGACCACAGAUGCCCAAUUGUCUGCAAACAUUUGUGAGCAGUCUCAUUAAGAUGGCAAGACAACUAAAUAGAUGCAGUGGGUAAUGACGAGCGUUUGGCAGACUUACCCUGAGAGCACAACCCAACCCUUACAGCCUCACUCUAUCUUUGACUAAGAAAUAGAACCCUCCCUCGAGGCAUAGGAAUGUGCACUCAGAUUGACUGUAUAAUGAUUAAAAAAAAAAAA
rnacentral:lncRNA from 1 species